AAGUCGUAACAAGGUUUCCGUAGGUGAACCUGCGGAAGGAUCAUUAAUACGUUUGAAAAAAACGUUUUAAACUCCAAAAUUUUAAUAGUGGAAAUAUAACUUCCGGAUGCAUUUGUAGGGAGGGGAAGAUUAGACCUUAAAAAGUCUGGUUUUCUCCUUCUUGAAAAGGAAACUUCAUGCACUUUAUUGUGUGUGACACUUCAGAGUAGAGCAGUGAGGUGAAAACUUCGGUUUUGGUUUCUGAAAUACAUCUGUAUCCGGUUAUUUUCUGUUCUACAACCCCUUUUAUAAAACAACAAACCCCAUGUACAACAACUUGAACUGAACAAAUUUUGUUUUCUCCUUUGUGAGGAAAUGAAGUAAAUCUGAACUUAAGAACAACUCUUAACAACGGAUAUCUUGGUUCUC
rnacentral:misc_RNA from 1 species